AUUGAACGCUGGCGGCAGGCCUAACACAUGCAAGUCGAGCGGAGCGGCGGACGGGUGAGUAAUUCCUAGGAAUCUGCCUGGUCGAUGGGGAUAACGUACGGAAACGGACGCUAAUACCGCAUACUCUCAGAUGAGCCUAGGUGUGAUUAGCUAGUUGGUGAGGUAAUGGCGUACCAAGGCGACGAUCAGUAACUGGUCUGAUAGGAUGAUCAGUCACACUGGAACUGAGACACGGUCCAGACUCCUACGGGAGGCAGCAGUGGGGAAUAUUGGACAAUGGGCGAAAGCCUGAUCCAGCCAUGCCGCGUGUGUGAAGAAGGUCUUCGGAUUGUAAAGCACUUUAAGUUGGGAGGCGUUACCGACAGAAUAAGCACCGGCUAACUCUGUGCCAGCAGCCGCGGUAAUUC
rnacentral:rRNA from 1 species